CGCGGGUUGGUGUACUGGUGUGCAUGGGUGGCUCAUAACCACCAGGGGCAGGUUCGAUUCCUGCACCCGCAACAA
rnacentral:tRNA from 1 species